rnacentral:rRNA from 1 species
UUAAAUUGAAGAGUUUGAUCAUGGCUCAGAUUGAACGCUGGCGGCAGGCCUAACACAUGCAAGUCGAACGGUAACAGGAAGCAGCUUGCUGCUUCGCUGACGAGUGGCGGACGGGUGAGUAAUGUCUGGGAAACUGCCUGAUGGAGGGGGAUAACUACUGGAAACGGUGGCUAAUACCGCAUAACGUCGCAAGACCAAAGAGGGGGACCUUCGGGCCUCUUGCCAUCAGAUGUGCCCAGAUGGGAUUAGCUUGUUGGUGAGGUAACGGCUCACCAAGGCGACGAUCCCUAGCUGGUCUGAGAGGAUGACCAGCCACACUGGAACUGAGACACGGUCCAGACUCCUACGGGAGGCAGCAGUGGGGAAUAUUGCACAAUGGGCGCAAGCCUGAUGCAGCCAUGCCGCGUGUAUGAAGAAGGCCUUCGGGUUGUAAAGUACUUUCAGCGGGGAGGAAGGUGUUGUGGUUAAUAACCGCAGCAAUUGACGUUACCCGCAGAAGAAGCACCGGCUAACUCCGUGCCAGCAGCCGCGGUAAUACGGAGGGUGCAAGCGUUAAUCGGAAUUACUGGGCGUAAAGCGCACGCAGGCGGUCUGUCAAGUCGGAUGUGAAAUCCCCGGGCUCAACCUGGGAACUGCAUUCGAAACUGGCAGGCUUGAGUCUUGUAGAGGGGGGUAGAAUUCCAGGUGUAGCGGUGAAAUGCGUAGAGAUCUGGAGGAAUACCGGUGGCGAAGGCGGCCCCCUGGACAAAGACUGACGCUCAGGUGCGAAAGCGUGGGGAGCAAACAGGAUUAGAUACCCUGGUAGUCCACGCCGUAAACGAUGUCUACUUGGAGGUUGUGCCCUUGAGGCGUGGCUUCCGGAGCUAACGCGUUAAGUAGACCGCCUGGGGAGUACGGCCGCAAGGUUAAAACUCAAAUGAAUUGACGGGGGCCCGCACAAGCGGUGGAGCAUGUGGUUUAAUUCGAUGCAACGCGAAGAACCUUACCUGGUCUUGACAUCCACGGAAGUUUUCAGAGAUGAGAAUGUGCCUUCGGGAACCGUGAGACAGGUGCUGCAUGGCUGUCGUCAGCUCGUGUUGUGAAAUGUUGGGUUAAGUCCCGCAACGAGCGCAACCCUUAUCCUUUGUUGCCAGCGAUUAGGUCGGGAACUCAAAGGAGACUGCCAGUGAUAAACUGGAGGAAGGUGGGGAUGACGUCAAGUCAUCAUGGCCCUUACGACCAGGGCUACACACGUGCUACAAUGGCGCAUACAAAGAGAAGCGACCUCGCGAGAGCAAGCGGACCUCAUAAAGUGCGUCGUAGUCCGGAUUGGAGUCUGCAACUCGACUCCAUGAAGUCGGAAUCGCUAGUAAUCGUGGAUCAGAAUGCCACGGUGAAUACGUUCCCGGGCCUUGUACACACCGCCCGUCACACCAUGGGAGUGGGUUGCAAAAGAAGUAGGUAGCUUAACCUUCGGGAGGGCGCUUACCACUUUGUGAUUCAUGACUGGGGUGAAGUCGUAACAAGGUAACCGUAGGGGAACCUGCGGUUGGAUCACCUCCUUACCUGAAAGAAGC